rnacentral:tRNA from 1 species
GACGGUAUAGCUCAGUGGUAGAGCGCAUGCUUAGCAAGCACGAAGUCCUGGUUUUGAUCCCCAGUACUGUUA